CCUACGGGUGACAGCAGUGGGGAAUAUUGGACAAUGGGGGGAACCCUGAUCCAGCGACGCCGCGUGAGUGAAGAAGUAUUUCGGUAUGUAAAGCUCUAUCAGCAGGGAAGAAAGAAAUGACGGUACCUGACUAAGAAGCCCCGGCUAACUACGUGCCAGCAGCCGCGGUACUACGUAGGGGGCAAGCGUUAUCCGGAUUUACUGGGUGUAAAGGGAGCGUAGACGGCGAUGCAAGUCUGAAGUGAAAGGCGGGGGCCCAACCUCCGGACUGCUUUGGAAACUGUAUGGCUGGAGUGCAGGAGAGGUAAGUGGAAUUCCUAGUGUAGCGGUGAAAUGCGUAGAUAUUAGGAGGAACACCAGUGGCGAAGGCGGCUUACUGGACUGUAACUGACGUUGAGGCUCGAAAGCGUGGGGAGCAAACAGGAUUAGAUACCCUGGUAGUC
rnacentral:rRNA from 1 species